rnacentral:tRNA from 1 species
CGGGGUGUAGCGCAGUUGGUAGCGCAUCUGGUUUGGGACCAGGGGGUCGCAGGUUCGAAUCCUGUCACCCCGACAA